rnacentral:rRNA from 1 species
UACGUAGGGGGCAAGCGUUGUCCGGAAUCAUUGGGCGUAAAGAGCGUGUAGGCGGUCCGGUCAGUCGGUUGUGAAAGUCAAGGGCUCAACCCUUGAAUGCCGGCCGAUACUGCCGGGCUAGAGUCCGGAAGAGGUGAGUGGAAUUCCUGGUGUAGCGGUGAAAUGCGCAGAUAUCAGGAGGAACACCGAUGGCGAAGGCAGCUCGCUGGGACGUUACUGACGCUGAGACGCGAAAGCGUGGGGAGCAAACAGG